UAAACCUGCUGCACCGACUGGUCCAACUGGAAAAUCCAGUAUUCAGUGUCCACGGCAUGGGCUGAGGAACCCAAACACGUCCAUGAGGACACAUGCCUCAGCUGCUGGGAGCGGAGCGGGACUCGGGGCAGAGGAGAAGAAGAUGAUCAGCUGAGAGGUGAAGGACAGAGCCGGACGAGAGUGGAGGCGGAUGAGGCACUUCGCAGCAGUCAUCAGGGUCUGAAUGAGACUUUCGAUCCAUGAGGAUUUCAUGUCUUUGGAACAGCAGACGUCAAAUUUUGUGAUCCACUUGAGAGGCCUGAAUGCUUCUGAGAAGGUAAAGACAAGAUUAUCUGUGGAUCAGUCACAAACGUCUCUUCCCACUGUCCCGGUGUGUGUUGCUGCUC
ensembl:lncRNA